AUUGAACGCUGGCGGAAUGCUUUACACAUGCAAGUCGAACGGUAGAGGGGGCAACCCCUUGAGAGUGGCGAACGGGUGAGUAAUAUAUCGGAACGUGCCCAGUCGUGGGGAUAACGUAGCGAAAGUUACGCUAAUACCGCAUACGAUCUAAGGAUGAAAGCGGGGGAUCGCAAGACCUCGCGCGAUUGGAGCGGCCGAUAUCAGAUUAGGUAGUUGGUGGGGUAAAGGCUCACCAAGCCAACGAUCUGUAGCUGGUCUGAGAGGACGACCAGCCACACUGGAACUGAGACACGGUCCAGACUCCUACGGGAGGCAGCAGUGAGGAAUUUUUGGACAAUGGGCGCAAGCCUGAUCCAGCAAUGCCGCGUGCAGGAUGAAGGCCUUC
rnacentral:rRNA from 1 species